rnacentral:rRNA from 1 species
UCGGGAAUUUUGGACAAUGGGCGAAAGCCUGACCCAGCAACGCCGCGUGAAGGAUGAAGUAUUUCGGUAUGUAAACUUCGAAAGAAUAGGAAGAAUAAAUGACGGUACUAUUUAUAAGGUCCGGCUAACUACGUGCCAGCAGCCGCGGUAAUACGUAGGGACCAAGCGUUGUUCGGAUUUACUGGGCGUAAAGGGCGCGUAGGCGGCAAUUCAAGUCAUCUGUGAAAUCUCCGGGCUUAACUCGGAACGGUCAGAUGAUACUGCUUUGCUAGAGUGCAGAAGGGGCAAUCGGAAUUCUUGGUGUAGCGGUGAAAUGCGUAGAUAUCAAGAGGAACACCUGAGGUGAAGACGGGUUGCUGGGCUGACACUGACGCUGAGGCGCGAAAGCCAGGGGAGCAAACGGGAUUAGAUACCCCAGUAGUCCCUGAGCGGGCUGGCAAGGCGCAU